GAUGAACGCUGGCGGCGUGCCUAAUACAUGCAAGUCGAGCGAACGGACGAGAAGCUUGCUUCACUGAUGUUAGCGGCGGACGGGUGAGUAACACGUGGAGAACCUACCUAUAAGACUGGGAUAACUUCGGGAAACCGGUGCUAAUACCGGGUAAUAUUUUGAACCGCAUGGUUCAAAAGUGAAAGACGGUCUUGCUGUCACUUAUAGAUGGAUCCGCGCUGCAUUAGCUAGUUGGUAAGGUAACGGCUUACCAAGGCAACGAUGCAUAGCCGACCUGCGAGGGUGAACGGCCACAGUGGGACUGAGACACGGUCCUGACUCCUACGGGAGGCAGCAGUAGGGAAUCUUCCGCAAUGGGCGAAAUCCUGCCGGAGCAACGCCGCGCGAGUGAUGCAGGUCUGCGGAUCGUAAAACUCUGUUCUUAGGGAAGAACACAUGUGUAAGUAACGGUGCACUUCUUGACGGUACCUAAUCAGAAAGCCACGGCUAACUACGUG
rnacentral:rRNA from 1 species